UAUAGCGAAAGCUAGUUGUAUUAACUAUUAGUUAAUGCAAGAUCGAUUAUGUCGACUAAAGUUCUAGGUAGAAUAAUGAUGAUGACAAUUUUCUACCUAUAUGUCUUGACCAAGUCUCGUGCCAGCAGUCGCGGUAAUACGUGGAAGACUAGUGUUAUUCAUCUUUAAUAGGUUUAAAGGGUACCUAGACGGUAUUUCUAGCCCAAAAUAGGGUACGGAUUUACUAGAGUUUUAUGUGAGGAGGGGAGUACUCGUGGAGUAGAGAUGAAAUUUUGUGAUACUACGAGGAAACUGGUGGCGGCGAAAGCAACCUUCUAUGUAUAAACUGACGUUGAGGGACGAAGGCUUGGGUAGCAAAUAGGAUUAGAUACCCUAGUAGUCCAAGCAGACAAUUCUGAAUGCCAUAGAUUAGAUUAUUUUUGGUCUAUAAAUGAAAGUGUAAGCAUUCCACCUUAAGAGUAAUGUGGCAACACAGGAACUGAAAUCAUUAGACCGUUUCUGAAACCAGUAGUGAAGUAUGUUAUUUAAUUUGUUGGUCCUCAAAAAACCUUACCACAACUUGAAUAUUAUUCAAUUAAUACAAGCGUUGCACGGCUGUCUUCAGUUAAUGUCGUGAGAUUUUGGUUAACUCCAUUAAUUAACGUAAACCCUUACUUUAUUUAU
rnacentral:rRNA from 1 species